AAAUAAGAUCGAAAUUUUUUUAAAUCUUUUUAAGCUUUUAAUUAUUCUAUAAGACUACAACUGUUUUAAGACUAAUGCAGCCAAUUUUGUCACUAAGAUGAACACAAUUCUACACUAUUACUAUGGUGACAACAUCUAGGACUCUGCCAGGGUAUGUUUCUUUAACUAUAAGAGUGACCUUGCACUCAGGAACCAGUAGGCGGCACUCAAACACGACACUGGGCAGGGGACUUUGCUCACCCCCUAGUUAGGAAGCUCAUUUGAUACCCGUGGAGCAACAGGGAGCAGUGACCCAAACUUGUGCCUCGGUAAAAUUCCUGAUCGUGGACUCUUGCGAAUGCUUCUGGCUUGUUAAAUCCAAGAUCACCAAGAGGUCAACAGUAAGGUUUUAUCAAAAAACGGGAGUACCAUGCAAUGAUUAAAACUGAUACCUGUGACGGCGACAGGAAAAAGUUUCCAUAAAUGCUGCAUAAGCAAAAGAAAAGCACAAAAUUUUAGAAAGAUCUUGUAACUGCCGAAUAAGGUAAAACAGUGAUUAAGUCUGAACGAAAGUUUUAAGAUUCUUAUUUCUUUUUAUUGUAUCUUAAGGUAUAUUUAAUAAUAAAAAUGUUUUAGAAAACACAGUUUUAGAAGGCAAAAUUAUUUAGAUGGGAAUAGUAUUUUAUCCAUUUGGUCUUGAACAUAUGUUUUGGUUUUAAAUUUAAUUCUAAUCUUUUAACACUUGCCUUUGUACAUAUACAUGUCCUAGGCUGCAUUAUAGAUGGGACUGCUCAUCUCAAAGAUGCCUGCUUCUGUGUGCUGGCCUUGGGAUAAAGGUACACAGAGCAAAAGAUUUAGGUGGUACACAGUAAUACGGCCAAUUAUAACAAUGCUAUAUCUAACAUCUCCAUCCAUGAUCAGAUUAACGGAUGAGAGGUAGACUCUGCUGAGUUUUGAGAUGCACUGAACAUUAAGGCAUUAGCUAGAUGUUACAGGUUCUGACCAAAGUUAAAUUAUCAAAGGAAUAAAUAAUUAAGUUCAUUAUGGAAAGUACAGAGUUAUGUCCAUAAAGCAAAAGAAACAAAAAAGGAAUGUGGAGUAUAAAUAUUAAAAUACAGAAAGCUUGACCUAAAAUACGUUUGCCUCUGAAAAUAAUCAGUUGCUCUCAGUUUCCAUUAUGGAUCGGAGGUAAUGGGUUCAGAAGGCAGUCUGAAGGGCUUAGGAUAACUAAUUAAGAAACCGCUCAACUGCUAAACAAAAAACCAGUGCCAUCAAAUGCAGCUGUAAAAGCUCCCCAUCAAGUUAAUUUUCUAAAUCGGAGGUUUUCAACGGGGGUUGGAAUCCCUCUAGGAGGCAUUCUAGAAAUUGGUGGGAGCACUUUUGUCUUCCAGUCUAAUCUUUUCCUUUCAUUUCUUCUUUAUGCCACAGCUAGAGCAUAAUAUUGAUUUAUUCAAACCUCCUUUUCAUUAUGAUAUAACCAACAUACAGAAAAAUGGAUAAAGUAUAAAGGUACAACUCAGCAAACAGUUGUAAAAUAACUCCUACCCAGCACCCAGAAACUCCUCAGGUGCCUCUCCCUGGCAGUCCUGACAGCUAGUAAAAGCAAGUGUUUUCACUUUGUUCUUCUUCAUAGGUGACCUGGUUAAUUUUGACCCUUUAUACUUCUUUAUAAACUUUAGAAUCAGCCUAUUAAAUUCCACUGGGGGGAGAAAAACAGUGAUAUCCUUUAGAGGGUUAUAUUAUAUUGAUUUUUUUUUAAUUUAUUUUUGUGGGUAGGUUAUAUUUUCCACGAAUUUUAUUUCAGGAUGGUAAGGGCCAUUACAUAAUGUUUCUUAUAAAAAGGGAAUGUUGUUGCUCUUAAGGAUAAGAACCAAUGUCCUCAACGAAAUAAAAAUGUGGUCCUCUCCCUUAGUGAAUGGGGAUUUAAUAUCCAAGACGAAGUCUUCUACAAAACCCAAAACUCACUCAAGGUGAUCCCUGAGACCAUCCCCAUUUGAAAACCUUUCUGAGAUGUCAUGACUUGUCCAUCUAAUUAUGAUACACAGGGUUUUCUAGGUAUAGGUGUACCCUGAUAUCCUUUAGAGGUUUAUGCGAUUUUAUCGAAAUCCAUUAACUCCUUCACAAAUUAUCUAAAGAUGAUCAAAGGACACACUAAUGCCAAAUAGGUCAAUAUCAAUAAAUUCCUGUUUAUUUUGGCACUUAAAGCCAACACAGUUAACAAAACUUGAAAUCUGUAGUUCCUGUCGUGUGGCUCAGUGGUUAAUGAACCCGACUAGCAUCCAUCAGGACACAGGUUUGAUCCCUGGCCUCGCUCCGUGGGUUAAGGAUCCGGCAUUGCCAUGAACUGUGUGGUGUAGGUCACAGAUGCAGCACGGAUCCCACAUUGCCAUGGCUGUGGAGCAGGCCAGCAGCUAUAGCUCUGAUUGGACCCCUAGUAUGGGAACCUCCAUAUGCCGCAGGUGUCGCCCUAAAAAGACAAAAUAAACAAAUAAAUAAAAUCCAGAUCUGUUGGACUAUACAUUCAAGAUGAAUAAAUGAUUAUAUUUUUAAAUUGUUCAUGACAGGAUCCAUGCCAUGUUCAGCACUUUCAUUUACUGGCUGUAUGACCUUGGACAAGUUACUUGAUCUUUCAGAAGCUUUGUUUCCUUAUGGGUAAAACAGAAAUAAUAUUGACGUUCAACUUUUUGUAUAAAUUAGUAGAGAUGAGUAUGCAAAGCAACUAGGAGCUAGGUACCUAAGAGGAACUAAAUAAGUGAGGACCAUUAGUAUUAUUUUUAUACUCACUGAUUGACUUGUGAAUGACUGAAUGAAUUUCAAUGGGUUAUGUCUCAAAGGCAUUUGCAUUUUAAGCCUUUUACUUCUAAUUGUGGAAUGAAAAUCUUUCUCUCCUUUAAAAGAACUUCAGGCAUCAGCAAGCAGAUGGUAUAGUCCAUUCAAAAUUCAUCCCACAAGGUCAUACUGUCCAUUCAGUUUAUAAGCAAGAAAUUCUGAAGCAGUUGAGAAAUUCUCUGCAAUACAGGAAAAAAUGUAAUAUUGCCCUACAAUUGGCUCAGUGACAAAGCUCCAGUUCACUGUAAAUUUUCUGUCAAUUAAGGACCACCAGUAUUAGGCAGAUUUCCCACCCUACUGUGCUUGAAUCAGAAUGAGUUACAAAAGUUUCCGAAAGUUAAUCUAUCUUCCAAAUAUAGAGAUAUUUUCUACUGAAAAUAUUCAGAAGAAUAUACUAGAAGACAGUAUGAUGUAUAGAAAAAGCAAUGAACUUGCAGCCAAGAGAAGUGGGCUUUCAUUUUCAUUCUAACACUUAGACAUUAGUGUGACAUUAGGCAGUGCAUUAAGUCUCUACAGGUUUCAUUGCUUCAGCUAAAAAAUGAGAAGGAUGACUUAUAGUCCUUCAAGCUCUGAGAUUCUGUGUGAAAGGCAUGUGCAAGAUGAGGGUAUGAGAGAAGGAAUUCACAUUGGAUUUAAUGGCAAACCCACUCCAGAAGCUAAACCUGAAAGAAUUUGUGGUGCCUUUAUAAAAAGGAGGGUCACAAAGGACCUCCAGAAGAGGAGAGGCUGUCUAGAGCUGGUACAAGCCCACUCCUGGGUGUAGCAGGGAAUAAUGAAUAACUCUGACACGGUACAAUGUCCAGUGACUGGACUGGAUACAGAACCAUCCAAUCCUCAUCACUCUCUUACUUAAAGGACAUUUAUCUGACCAGAAGCUUCAAUUCCCAGUGUUCCCAGAAUGCCAGGUGCACUCUCUCUAUGCUCAGCACCUACAACCCAGGCUGGCAUGACCUCUCUACAGCAGCACCAGAAUGCUCACACUGCCCCUCCUGGGACACUGUACCUU
rnacentral:lncRNA from 1 species